UGAUCGGCAAGUCCUAGGCUCUGUGGUUUAACCCACAGCGCCACCCGUUGUCGUUGUUGUUUAGUCAUUUAGUCGCCACCCGCAUCCCUAUAAAUCAUAUAUAGGCAGCAUAUAACUCAGGAAUAAAAUACUUAGAAUUCCAAAGCCCCCAGCCCAGAUGGCAUUACACCAGAAAUGCUAAAAUCACAGGUGGAUUUGGUGUGCACCUUUCUUAGCCUCUCUCUUUGCCCACAUAGACGAGACUGGCUGCAUCCCAAGGGAGUGGGGAACAGCCAUAAUAGUUCCAUUCUAUAAAAAGGGCAAUAGAGGGGACGCAUCGAACUAUAGGCCGAUUAGCUUACUAAGUGUGAUUAGUAAACUUUACACAAAGCACCUACUUAAAAAGUUUACUGAAUUGUUAGAAAAUGAAGACAUUCUGGCAAUAGAACAAGCGGGCUUUAGACCCGGAAGGUCCAUGAUAGAUCACUGCCUAACACUAUUGACACCUCAUAGAAAAAUAUAAAUCAGGAGGGCAGGCCUACGCCGCUUUCGGAGAUCUAAAAGCAGCCUUCGACACAGUCCCCAGAACUAGACUCUGGGAUAGACUUCAGGGUACCACCGUAGACAGAAGGCUCCUGUUCUUAAUCCAGGCAGUUCGUGCAAAUACGGCUCUUAGAGUCAGGUGUAGCCUCCUAGGACACCUAACAGACCCCAUUAAAACUUUUAAGGGAGUCAGGCAAGGGUGCCUAUUGGCCCCCCCUUCUAUGUAAUUUCUAUUUUAAUAAUAUUUUAAUACAAGCUGGUCUUUGACCGUAAUAAAUUAUUAUUAUUAUUAUUAUUAUUAUUAUUAUUAUUAUUAUUUAGAACACAUUUACUCAUUUUACAGAUAGAAAUCCUACAAUAUUUAAUGUAAUUAUUAAUAAUGCUUAAUAGCAGAAAGUUUAGCAAACUACAAUGUGUGAAGUGUCCAGGACUUUUUUCCAGCCAAAACUCAGGUCCAGCACCAUUCAGAUGGGUGCCAUUGCCAUUAUAAGAGAACAAGUGAGGCGUUCCUGGUGGAUUCUGGCACCUCUUUUUUUAAAACAAAACAAAACAAAAAAAGCACCAGAAAUGCCAGUGUGCAAGACCAAACCUUGUGUCCCUGGUGGGCCUGCCUCAUAUCCAAAGAGCCCUUUAAAGCUCUUUGAAACAUUAUUUAAACAAGAAACAUCUCCUGUGCACAUGUAAAUGGCAUCUGCUGCAUUUUGCAGGAAAGACAUUUUAAAAGACCCAUAAAAGAGAAAGAGACCUUUUAUUGGGAAAUCAGACUGCAUGAAGGAAACAAUUCUCCAGAACUGGAUAACCCAGACAGCAGUUAACAACCAUUUCCCAGCUCCAGGGAAAGUCACAAAUUAAUCUGUGCAGUGCAUGAGUCACGUGACUGACACAUUGCUGAGAGUUUUGUGGCUUAAUCCUGGGACCCCCUAAAGGAGGAUGGGAUUGCAGUGAUAAUUUAUUAAAUGGACAUGAAUGAAGAGAAACUCUUAACAGAAGUUGGAAUGGUGAAAUUGCACUAUUAAUGCUUGCCUUCAGUGUUCAGAUUUUCUUGGUAAUAGAGCUAUUGAGUGCAAUCCAGCUAAAUUUAGGCAUGUCUAAGUCCUUUUGAUAGGGACGCGGGUGGCGCUGUGGGUAAAACCUCAGCGCCUAGGACUUGCCGAUCGCAUGGUUGGCGGUUCGAAUCCCCGCGGCGGGGUGCGCUCCCGUUGCUCGGUCCCAGUGCCUGCCAACCUAGCAGUUCGAAAGCACCCUCGGGUGCAAGUAGAUAAAUAGGGACUGCUUACUAGCGGGAAGGUAAACGGCGUUUCCAUGUGUGCGGCUCUGGCUCGCCAGAGCAGCUUCGUCACGCUGGCCACGUGACCCGGAAGUGUCUGCGGACAGCACUGGCUCCCGGCCUCUAGAGUGAGAUGAGCGCACAACCCUAGAGUCUGGCAAGACUGGCCCGUACAGGCAGGGGUACCUUUACCUUUAAGUCCUUUUGAUUUCAGCUGGAGAAAAAAGUAUGUGCUUUAGACUACAAUCCUAGGCAAACUUAUUUUAGAACUAUUAUUAUUAUUAUUAUUAUUAUUAUUAUUAUUAUUAUUUUCAGUUUAUACACCGCCCUAUACCCAAAGGUCUCAACUAGACCAGUUGCUCAUAGCAGAGUCUCAUUAGACAUGAAAUUAUGCAUACAACUUGCAGAUAGUGAGGAUGAAAAAAGCCAGAGUUUAGUGUGGAGGGGGAAGCAGCAGUGUAACCUAGAAGCAAAGCAACAAGCAGAGAGAGAGAGAGAGAGAGAGAGAGAGAGAGAGAGAGAGAGGGAGAGAGAGACUAGACCUCUGCUGGAAUCCCAAACUGUUGAUAUGGGAGUAGCAAGACCCUUUUGGGAUGUUAAUGCUGUGAACCCCUCCAUAUAUAUGCAAAUAAACCAUAUAUCGUAAAGACGCCACAGUCUCUGCUGUGCCUUAUUCACAAAAGUAAACAUGAACCCUGGGUAAGCACCUGGAACCCCUGCGGUGGCUUGCAGCAGUAUUUAAAUUAAUGGCUUUAAUAAAAGUUAUAUAUUAUUUUUUACUGUGGUAUUUAUUCUCUAUUUUCAUCAUGGCCUCCAGAUUCACCAAAAAGCACGCCGCAGCCUACCACUUUCAGUUUUAGAAAUCCUGCCCCAGACUUAGUGUGUAUUUAUAAAUGGAUUUCAUUUUGUGAUAGAAAUCGAAGAAUAGCUUGCCCCUUCAGCACCAGGGCAAGGAACUGCAGCAGAAAAAUUCAAAGGGUCUUUCAUCACUGUGCAAAUUUCUCUCCAUGCUCACAUAUAGGUUUGUUGGAUGCAGCCUGAGAAGGACAACCGCAGCCCAUGAAUUUUCAUUCCAAAGUUUUUCAACCAUCCUUACUUGAGAAUGCAGAAUAAGCAAACCAGCAUACUGGUGUAACCCAGUAAUCUUUAAACAAGCAGCUAGUUUUAUUGAGAGGAAAACACACAGUAACUAACUUCAGUCCCCUUGAUUUCUACAGGUGUACUAAGUCUGGAUUCACCCCUAAACACGCUGAUUCUAUCUGUAAAAUAGCUAUGAAGAACAAAGUCAUCAGCACAUUUUUGCAAAUGGAUGCCCAGAAGCUUUCUGAACAGAAGCCCCUAGUUUAUUUGUUUUAAGUUAUUAGGUUACCAAAGGGCCAAAGCAAUUUGCCAUGAAAUUAGGAUAAAUCAUAAGGUUGACUCAGCAACUUGCUUUUAGAUAGUGGCAAUGGUGCCAUUCUCAAAAUGCUUAUUCUAGCGUUACAGUAGUCUUACUAUCAUUGUAGAGGAAAUGGUAAGAAGACCAUGACCACAAGGUCUUUGGUAAAGAGUAUUCAGAUAAUAAUGUCUAUAAAAAGCAUCUGUAUUCCAGAUGUUUCAGCUUUUUACUCUUGUAUUAAUUGUAGGUAGUUAUUUCCCACCCCACCCCAAGAUAUGAGAUGGGGGACUUGGGAGUGAAAUUACAAAGGCUCAGGUUUGAGAAUUAAGUUAACUCUACAAAACGUCCCUCGAUUGAAAUGUUUCCAGGAUAAAGAUGGACGUAGCUGAUAAUGUGACAAAUAUGGUCAUGAAUGGAAUAUCAAUUUUGAAAAGACAAAGACAAAAUAUCAUUGCAGAGACAGAAGCUUGGAUCAAUUCUUUCCUUCUCCAAAUAGGACCACCUGUUGUUCUGACAUCACUGUUGGAUGAAGCAGCCAUUUCUUGUCCAGCUAAAAGUAAACACAUUUGUUACCAUCUGCCAAAAAGCAGAGAUGAAGACAGACAUAUUACCUAGAGAUCACAGUACAGCUGUCUUGCAAAAAAUAACUUUCUCCAUGAGGUUUGGAAGGGACAUGUUUCAGUCUGUUAUACUGGUUCUGCGAGGACAUGGAGAAUUGCGAAGGGGAUUCUGAAAGAAAUCAAAGCGCUCUUUCCAAGGGUGAAAGAAGAUUCUGAGAGGCAAAGGGAUCAGCUUGGGAACGUGGAGAACAAGGUACUAACUGAGACACAAAAUUCUUGAAUAAACAUUGUUCUGGAGUAGCCAAAAACCCGCUGCUGGAAGAUGAUCAUCUAAUCCAUGAAAGAAAGGAAGACAUGACAAAAGUCUGGAAUGCAUCCUGCCUUUGGUGCUGAGACCAGCUUGGUCACCCUGUAUGACGACUGUGUCGGGACAGAGAGAGGAAAAUGCGUCCCUGUUGAUACACCUCGACCUCUGCAGCUUCCAGUACUAUUCAGCAUGGUAUUCUUUGGGAGUUACUGUCGGAGUUUAGAGCAGCAGGGACUGCUUUGAAGGGUUUGUGUUCCUAUUCGGAUGGCCGGCUCCAAAAAAUGAAGGUAUUGUUUGACCCCAUGGAGCCUCUGGUGCGAGGUUCUUCAGGGUUUGGUAUCACACCGCCACCGUAACAUCUACAUCAGGCAUAGGCAAACUCGGCCCUCCAGCUGUUUUGGGACUACAACUCCCAUGAUCCCUAGCUAACAGGACCAGUGGUCAGGGAUGAUGGGAACUGUAGUCCCAAAACAGCUGGAGGGCCGAGUUUGCCUAUGCCUGAUCUACAUGAAACCUCUGAGUGGGGUCAGCCAUAGUUUUGGAGUGUGUUGUCAUCAAUAUGCUGGUGACAUGCACCUGACUUCUCCUUUACAUUGAAGGCAGGUGAGGGAAAGAGAUGUGCUGAGCUGGUGCCUGGGCUUGGUAAUGGACUAGCAAAAGUUGGCAGCCCAAACGGAUGAGAAAGUUGCAAGUGCAGCUUUCUCAAAACUUAAUCAAAUUCAAUAAACGAAAAGCCUUUCCAUUUAACAGGUGUUAAGACCUUCCCAUGUUUACUCAAGCUCCCAAAUGUUGGGAAAUGACUGUUUUUAACAGACACAUUUAGGCAAUAUCAAUAUAGCCCGGAGUGAUAUCCUACCCUGUGGAUGCCAGUUGCAGAUAAGCUACUGAAAAUAUAUUUAUUUAUUUAUUUAUUUUAAAUCAAUUCACGUUACAUGUUAAUUGUCAUACACAUUCAACAUUGUACAUAACAUAUAUUAUUUCUACAAAUUCCCCACACCUAACCCUAUAACCACCUUCCCUUUUACCCAAAUACCCAUGUGACUUCCUUCACCCACAUGCGUGAUAUCCAACUUGUUACUUAAAAAAACCCAACUCUAAUAUUGUCUUCAUUUUUGUUCAUUAGAAUGAUCAUCUAUUUAAAACAUAGCUUCUUAACUUAAUGGGUUCAAUCUAUACUUACUGUAUCCAGAGAUUUCUAAUAGAAUGAUUUUGUACAAUAUGUUCUUCAACACAUUUCCAUUCCUUUCUUAAUUUUUGUUUUGAUUGCAUUCUGAUUGACGCUGUCAUCUUGGCUAGUUCAAUAUAUUGGCAAAAUUUAGUUUGCCACUCUAACACUGAGGGAAUCUCCUCACUCUUCCAAUAUUCUGGCAGCCACUGUAAGCUACUGAAAAUAUUUUUAAUAAUACCAAAGUAUCACAAUGCUUCUAUCAAGCAAUUUAGGGAUGAAGGAACAUGGACAAAAUGAAGCUGACAGAACCAACAUCUGACUAAAGUAGAAUUCAGGUCUAACACUCCGGAUAAAAAAACCUCUGACUAUUGUCCUCAAAAUUCAGUCAAGCUGGUCAUCAUCUACACUGCUUUCAGCAAUCCAGCAUGUGUUUAUCCAUGCAGGACUACUAAUUAUUAUUGUGCUUCAC